rnacentral:lncRNA from 1 species
GUGAGGCCAACAAGGAGACAUAGAUUCCUUCUUCCUUGCUUCAGUCAUAUGAUGCUAACAUCUCUUGUGUAAAAAUACUGAAUUAUUUCAUACAGUUUUUAUCUCUUUCCAGAUGCAGCAACAAAUUGAAGGUAGAAAGGAGCACUCUGAGCUCCUUGAAAAAAUCAAGUACCUGGAAAACAAACAGAAAGACAUGGAAAAAGCUAUGACUGAGAAAGACAAUACUAUUGCUGCUUUGACUAAUUGUAUUGCACAGUUGAAUGAGUCAUAUGAAUCUGAAUUUGAGGACAAAAAUCUUGGCGUUAAUGAAGUCCUGACAGGUAAGAUGACUCUCAGGGAGGCUGGAUCCCUUAUGCUGUAGUUAAGGACAGAAGUACUUUCUUGAUUAGGC